UCAGUUACAGGUCUAACUCCUUAUUCUACUCUUUCCUCCCUUCUCACUACUGCAUUUGACUAAUCUUU
rnacentral:scRNA from 1 species